UCGAAAGAGAGCCGUAACACAGGUGCUGCAUGGCUGUCGUCAGCUCGUGUCGUGAGAUGUUGGUUAAGUCCCGCAACGAGCGCAACCCUUGUCAUUAGUUGCUACAUUCAGUUGGGCACUCUAAUGAGACUGCCGGUGACAAGCCGGAGGAAGGUGGGGAUGACGUCAAGUCCUCAUGGCCCUUAUAGGUGGGGCUACACACGUCAUACAAUGGCUGGUACAAAGGGUUGCCAACCCGCGAGGGGGAGCCAAUCCCAUAAAGCCAGUCGUAGUCCGGAUCGUAGUCUGCAACUCGACUACGUGAAGUCGGAAUCGCUAGUAAUCGUGGAUCAGAAUGUCACGGUGAAUACGUUCCCGGGUCUU
rnacentral:rRNA from 1 species